AAUCGCGAAUCAGCAUGUCGCGGUGAAUACGUUCCCGGGCCUUGUACACACCGCCCGUCACACCAUGAGAGUUGGUAACACCCGAAGUCCGUGAGGUAACCGUAAGGAGCCAGCGGCCGAAGGUGGGAUUGAUGAUUGGGGUGAAGUCGUAACAAGGUAGCCGUAGGAGAACCUGCGGCUGGAUCACCUCCUUUCUAGGGAG
rnacentral:rRNA from 1 species